rnacentral:other from 4 species
GGCGUUCUGCGCUUCGCGACAGGAUAACAGCAUCCCUAGGGCCUUAAUGAUCUUAAAGGGAGCCGUCCCUGAUGAGGCCCGUGGGCUUCGUCAUAUGGCGCCCACCUACUAUGUAGGUUCCUAGGAUCAAAAAUUCCAUCGGUUGUCGUGGACGCCA